rnacentral:tRNA from 1 species
UGGGGUAUGGCUCAAAAAGUAGAGUACCUGCCUAGAAAGCAUGAAUCCCUGAGUUCAAAAUUCCAGUAACCUUU